AGGGAAUCUUCCACAAUGGACGCAAGUCCGAUGGAGCAACGCCGCGUGAGUGAAGAAGGUUUUCGGACCGUAAAGCUCUGUUGUUGGUGAAGAAGGAUAGAGGUAGUAACUGGCCUUUAUUUGACGGUAAUCAACCAGAAAGUCACGGCUAACUACGUGCCAGCAGCCGCGGUAAUACGUAGGUGGCAAGCGUUGUCCGGAUUUAUUGGGCGUAAAGCGAGCGCAGGCGGAAGAAUAAGUCUGAUGUGAAAGCCCUCGGCUUAACCGAGGAAUUGCAUCGGAAACUGUUUUCUUGAGUGCAGAAGAGGAGAGUAGAACUCCAUGUGUAGCGGUGGAAUGCGUAGAUAUAUGGAAGAAUACCAGUGGCGAAGGCGGCUCUCUGGUCUGCAACUGACGCUGAGGCUCGAAAGCAUGGGUAGCGAACAGGAUUAGAUACCCUGGUAGUCCAUGCCGUAAACGAUGAGUGCUAAGUGUUGGGAGGCUUCCGCCUCUCAGUGCUGCAGCUAACGCAUUAAGCACUCCGCCUGGGGGAGUACGACCGCAAGGUUGAA
rnacentral:rRNA from 1 species